rnacentral:lncRNA from 10 species
GUCCUGCUCAAAUUUGCCGUUAAACCUAACCAAACCAGGGACCGGCAUUCCACACUGGAAACAUGCUGUCAUCUUCAAGAUAAUUGCUGAGCAAAAGAAGAAGGUGGAGAAAAAGCAGAAAGGGUUUCACUCUGUCACCGAAGCUGGAGUACAGUGGCGAGAUUACAGCUCGCUGCAGUCUUCACCUCCCAGGUUCAAGUGAUCUUCACACAGCCUCCCAGGUAGCUGGGAUCACAGGUGAGGUCUGUCUCUGUCACCCAAUACAGUGGCGUGAUCUCAGCUCACUACAACUUCUGUCUCCUGGGCCCAAGUGAUCCUCCUGCCUCAGACUCCCAAGUAACUGGGACUACAGGUGAACACCACCACACCUGGCUAAAUUUUUAUUCUUAGUAGAGAUGGGGCCUUGCCACUUUGCCCAGACUGGUCCUGAACUCUUGGGGUCAAGCAAUACUCCCACCUUGGCCACUUGUGAUCUUCUGGGGUUACAAGAGUGAGCCACCACACCUGGCCAACAUGUAUUUCUUGAUAAUGUAAAAAUUAGUAAAGAAUUGACUUUUACAGUGGUCUUUAAUUUGUAUUAGCAUAUAAAUUAAAGUUUUAGAAUUUUUUUCUCCUUGUUUCCUAUUAUUAAUUCUCAUUAAUUUAGUUAUCUCAUUUUUUUCUGGAUAUUUUUAUCACUGUUAUUAUUUGUUGUUGUCUUGAGCGUACUGUUCCAAAACCAGAACUAUAGUCUAGCUUCUUUAAUUAUCUAGACUUUAGAAAGCAAAGGCAUACAAAAUUAGUUAAAAAAUAACAUUUACUGAGUUUUCAUUGAAAUUUAUAUUCUGAGUGUUUCAGUAACUUUAUACUGAGUGUUUCAAUAAU